UGGGGAAUUUUGGACAAUGGGGGAAACCCUGAUCCAGCCAUCCCGCGUGUGCGAUGAAGGCCUUCGGGUUGUAAAGCACUUUUGGCGGGAAAGAAACGUCGCGGGUUAAUACCCCGCGGAACUGACGGUACCUGCAGAAUAAGCACCGGCUAACUACGUGCCAGCAGCCGCGGUAAUACGUAGGGUGCAAGCGUUAAUCGGAAUUACUGGGCGUAAAGCGUGCGCAGGCGGUUCGGAAAGAAAGAUGUGAAAUCCCAGAGCUUAACUUUGGAACUGCAUUUUUAACUACCGGGCUAGAGUGUGUCAGAGGGAGGUGGAAUUCCGCGUGUAGCAGUGAAAUGCGUAGAUAUGCGGAGGAACACCGAUGGCGAAGGCAGCCUCCUGGGAUAACACUGACGCUCAUGCACGAAAGCGUGGGGAGCAAACAGGAUUAGAUACCCUGGUAGUCCACGCCCUAAACGAUGUCAACUAGCUGUUGGGGUCUUCGGACCUUGGUAGCGCAGCUAACGCGUGAAGUUGACCGCCUGGGGAGUACGGUC
rnacentral:rRNA from 1 species